CGCACACUCUGCUUCUGCGGCCCAGGGUUUCGCCGGUUCGGAUCCUGGGCGCGGACAUGGCACCGCUCAUCAGGCCAUGCUGAGGCGGCGUCCCACAUAGCACAAGCAGAAGUUCUGGAGACGAACAGGAGCUUCCACCCAGGUCUCUAUGGGAGGAGGAGUCUCCGUGGAGCCUUCGGAGUUCACCGGGUCCCCAGGAGCUGGUGCAGGGGACGCCUGUGUCAGGCAGAGAGAUGCAAGGGGAGCAGUGGGCAGGUCUGGGCGCGAGGCCGGCUGAGUUGGAGAUGCCUGUGGGAUUCAAGCUCUCGCUGGGGAGCCUGGGGCUUGGGAGAGAGAGGUCUAGAGGACGUGCAGUUUCUAGAGCAGACUCGUGGAAUGGACUCGGAAACUUCCGGAAGGUCAUCUUUCAUUAUGAGCUGGUGAUCCUGAGUCUAUGGCUUCAGGUGACCGUCCUCACCCAAGCUUCAGGUGCCCCUGAAGCUAACUUCAUCUAACUGCCCAGCUUCCCCGGAUGCCCAUGGGCACCUCAAACUUUAUGUGCCUCCAAACUGGCUUGUCAAACCGGGGGCGCCCCCUAGAUGCUGCUAAGUGCCCAGCCAAUACUCAUCUGCUCCUCCUCCCUAACUGAAUUCUGAUUUUGUUCUGGGUACCAAUGAACUCCACUGAAGUCGCUCAGCCUUCCUUGCAGCUAUGGGUGCUGCAUCCCUUCCCAAAUGAAAAGUCAAAGCCUUCUUAAGAGAAAGGCCCUUGCCUUCUUCCCUGCCUUGGAAUGAGGGCUGGAGGUGCAGCAGCCAUCUUGUGACCCCGAGGCCACAUGCUUAAGGACAAAGAGCCACUCAUUGAGGAUGGUGCAGGGGAAAGGUGGAGGGAUGGCAUUACAGAGCCACGUUCAUUUCAACCUGACUGCUGUC
rnacentral:lncRNA from 1 species